GAUCAAAGAGUUAGGAAUUAUGGCACCAAAAGGAGAGUUAAUUAGAAAAGGCAAGUCCGGAGGCUGGCGUGACUACUUCGAUGCAGACAUGAGUCGAGAGGCAGAGGACUGGAUUGCCAAGAACUUGCAGCACACCGACUUGAGAUUUCCAACUGUGUAAUAACUGAAGAAUUUUAUUUAAUAAAGCAUUUUGCAAAUAA